AAGUCGUAACAAGGUAACCGUAGGUGAACCUGCGGUUGGAUCAUUAAUAAAUCUAGAAGGUCUUCAAGACCUCUCUAACAUCUUGUGAAUUGUUUAUGUCUCUGGCAGGCUGGGUGGCAACACUUUAGGCUGCCGAGUAAACUUUGUAUUCUUCUUUUGUCUAAAAAACUAUAAAAGUAAUUAAAACAACUUUUGACAACGGAUCUCUAGGCUCUC
rnacentral:misc_RNA from 1 species